CAAGACUUGUCAUCCUCAAGCUGGAGAAGACAACAUUAGCAAUUGGACAGGGGCCAUGAAAAGGAAACUGGGACCUGCGCUGGGGCUUCUGUGGGUGCAGAUUUACUGGGUGCGAGGAGUUGAGGUGGAACAAAGUCCUUCAGCUCUGAAACUCUAUGAGGGAACCAGUUCUCCUCUGUUAUGCAAUUUUUCUACCACCAUCAUGAGUUUGCAGUGGUUCCAGCAGAGUCCCAGUGGCAGCUUCAUCAAUCUUUUUUACCAGGCUCCAGGAACAAAGGAGAAUGGAAGGUUAAAGUCUACAUUUGACUCCAAGGAGCGGUACAGCACCCUGCACAUCAGGGAUGCCCAGCUGGGGGACUCAGGCACCUACUUCUGUGCUGCAGAGGCACAGUGCUUCCAUCAUGCCUGCAGCCUGGCCCCAAAUUGCAGCUGUUCAUGCAGCUACAGCCCUGACAUGAGGAGACUCUGA